rnacentral:rRNA from 1 species
GACGAACGCUGGCGGCGUGCUUAACACAUGCAAGUCGAACGGAAAGGCCCCUUUGGGGGUACUCGAGUGGCGAACGGGUGAGUAACACGUGAGUAACCUGCCCUUGACUUCGGGUUAACUUCAUGAAACUGGGGCUAAUACCGGCUAGGAAUCCUUGCUGCAUGGUGGGGGUUGGAAAGCUUCGGCGGGUUUGGAUGGACUCGCGGCCUAUCAGCUUGUUGGUGGGGUAGUGGCUUACUAAGGCUUUGACGGGUAGCCGGCCUGGGAGGGCGACCGGCCACAUUGGGACUGAGAUACGGCCCAGACUCCUACGGGAGGCAGCAGUGGGGAAUAUUGCACAAUGGGCGGGAGCCUGAUGCAGCAACGCCGCGGGCGGGAUGACGGCCUUCGGGUUGUAAACCGCUUUCAGCAGGGGCGAAGCUUGUGGUGACGGUACCUGCAGAAGAAGCACCGGCUAACUACGUG